UCCAUCAAACACUAAAAGCACUCAAAUCAAUAUAUUUUUCUAAAUUAUGAUCUAGCAUCAAAAAUUUCAAAGAGAAAAAUAUGAUUCAAUUUCUGUGUACGUUGGCUUUGUCUUCUCUUCCUCUACUUUUCUAUAUUCCACCAAUCAGAAACUUAAAUAGUUUUGUAGAAACAAUGGAAGUAAUUAAGAGAGAAUCAAGAUUACAUCCGUACAUGUUGAAUCCACAAUUAAGGGUAGGUUGGUCUGGGAUUAUGGAUCGUAUAGUUUCUUCAUUUAUUUAAUUUCCUGACUUUUGGACAAUGCUAAAUGUUAUUGGGGAGUUUGAAUAAGAAAACUUUUAUUUGAUGUCUUUUAGUUUUA
rnacentral:lncRNA from 1 species